rnacentral:rRNA from 1 species
GACGAACGCUGGCGGCGUGCUUAACACAUGCAAGUCGAACGGAAAGGCCUCUUUCGGGGGGUACUCGAGUGGCGAACGGGUGAGUAACACGUGAGUAACCUGCCCUUGACUUUGGGAUAACUUCAUGAAACUGGGGCUAAUACCGGAUAGGAGCUCCUGCUGCAUGGUGGGGGUUGGAAAGUUUCGGCGGUUGGGGAUGGACUCGCGGCUUAUCAGCUUGUUGGUGGGGUAGUGGCUUACCAAGGCUUUGACGGGUAGCCGGCCUGAGAGGGUGACCGGCUACAUUGGGACUGAGAGACGGCCGAGACUCCUACGGGAGGCAGCAGUGGGGAAUAUUGCACAAUGGGUGGAAGCCUGAUGCAGCAACGCCGUGUGCGGGAUGACGGCCUUCGGGUUGUAAACCGCUUUCGCUCAUGACGAAGCUUUGUGUGACGGUAGUGGGUAAAGAAGCACCGGCUAACUACGUG